UAUAUAUAUUUUAUUUGAAUUAUCUUAUUUCAAUGACAAAUAAUUUAUACAUCAUACUUAUGCUUGGGUCCUUGUGAUAGAAGUGCUCAUUUAUAGGUGAGAUUGCAAGUCAUUUUGUUAAGAAUUUAUUAUUUGAGGGAGGGGGGUGUAUUUUUAGUGUUGCUGCAAGUUAUUUAAUAACCUAACGAAUGGACGACACCAGGACCUCAGUUUCAAUAUUUCAUCCAUGCAAUUUUCACUUUUAACGCAAGUACUCAGCGAAUGAAAGGGUGAAGUUAUCAAACAUUGACCAAUCUCAUAAUUACCAUAAAGAAUUCAAAUGAAGAGAGAAGGGCGAACACGGACCCCUGGAUAUACCAGAGGCGAGAUAUGGUGCUUAGGAAGAGUAAGAUUUCCCUGUUGACCGGCCAUACCCCCUCCCCAGAGCCCUAUAUCACAAUCUGGUAAACGGUUGUUUGGUAGGUUGUAUCGUCGACUGUCCUAUUUCGGUGACUGACCAGAAUCGGUGACCCUUUGUUUACGUGUGCGUGUUGUCGUUUCCGGGUGUAGAUUGCAUCAUCAAUUUCGCCGUAGUGUUUGCAAACAUAUAUAGAGUAAGUCUUAAAUUUUUUUCCGAAAAUGAACUACUAGAAGGAUAGUAUGCAAAAAAUCAACAAGAGCUCCCUGUAACAAUCACGAGUAUGCCAUAUCGAAUACGCCCUUGAAAUUUGAAUUACCCAUAAUUCUCCGCAAAUAGCUCAGUGGCGCUCGAACAAUAGUGGCCGGGUCAUUUCCAGGAGAGUCGCCAUGUAAGACAGACGGGUACAUUGUCACAGCGGGCUAAUAUCUUCAUUCGUUCAAGAAUUCAAUUUUAGUUAGGGAACUUAUGACUUGGGCACGGAUAGCAGACCGUGCGUCAUAUCUGUGAUGAUGAUGAUCGUGAUGGUGACUUCAUCGUGGUGAUGAUAAUUGUGACGAUGGUGAUGAUAUCAACGUGGAUUGUCUCUGACAUCCUAUACCAUUCCCAGCUUUGGAUAUAAAGCCCGGAAGGACUGGAGGGAUUGGGUGUGACAUCUACAGUUUGAUGUGACUUUUUGUGAUACAAAACGAUCCAUUCUAUUGGCAAUUUAAUUUUCCCGGGUUUUCUUUUGUUUGAAUUUUUAUACAUAUACGAUAGGUACUGUUUUCCUGUUAUCGUGAAUAUUAGUUUUUUUGUUUUUUUUUUGGUAGGUGUGUGAUUGGUGUGAGACUGUUACCUAUAUAUCUUCCUUUCAUUUGAAAAUAAAUUUUUUUCAAUAAUUCUUCAGUACUGUUCUUGUUUGUUAUUUGGAUUGUAGCGUCGCACAUCCCGUUACACACCCCAAAAA